AUGUAUUCAGCAAACUGUUCAUUCUUACAGUGUUACAGAAAUUUAAACAGUCUUAAGUAUGGAAAACUUAUGAACACCCCUUUGAAAGCAUACACCUUGCCCCAGUUUCUGCUGCAACCAAAGGAGACUCCAACUCUCCAAUUCCAAUUUUGCAGGCACUUCGCAGAAUUGCUUUUUUCCACGAUAAUGAGCAAGAACGGGGUCCUGGAGCCCUCUGGUGGAUGUCUUGCAGAAGACAGGCAGCUGAAAGCACUGGACUCUCAUUUCCCAGCAGACUGGACUCUGCAUCCACAGUGGGCUCAAGAACCAGGCUGCUGCUGCUGUGUGGCCAUCCUAGAGCACAGAGUGGGACAGUGCUGUUACAGAGCCUGGCCUACUGCAGUUCCUGGCUGCUGCUCAGGAUGGGUUCCAGAAAUGAACCUCGACAAGCUUGCAUUAAAUUAGGGAAGCAGGUUUCUGCAGGCAUGUGGCAGGCUGCACAGCCAGGAUUCUGGCAUCCUAAGUGGGUUCUGGAGCCAGCAGUCUUGGAGCUUGUGGCAGCUCCUGGCUAGUGUUUGGGA
rnacentral:lncRNA from 1 species